rnacentral:piRNA from 2 species
UGAUGAUUCCCGAGAUAUUUCCAGGU